rnacentral:lncRNA from 1 species
CACACCAGGAAGUAGGGGGGAGGGACCCCUGGGGCACAAUGGGGGAUACAGUUUACCAGGUCACGAUAUUUUAAAACCCACAUUAGAUAUAUAAAAAUAGCAACACAAAAUUACAAAAAAAAAGUUGUAAACCAGAUUUCUAGAUAGAGCUAAUUCAUUAAUUACUGUUAUAAUUAGGCUUCAGCAUUGAUUCAGGAAUUCUCUGAAGAUCUGGGUUCAAAUUCCAUCUCUGAUGCUGUUUCACUCUUUGAUCUGAGGAAUAAUGCUGAACUGACUUCAGAAGAGAGACUCUAUGAAGUUAAGAGGAGCCUCUCUCCCGACCUUUCAAAUCGUACAAGAACCUGGCCCAUUGCACAGUGCAGAGGACUGACAAUAAGCCAGACCAAACCCAGUCACAUAACUCAAACAGAAAUGUUAUUUGCUAACAAGGUGUUUCAUAAACAAGCUCUUGCCAUUUCUGGCUUCUAAUCUAUUAUGUUAUCUACUUUUUCAUCAUGGGUGAGCUCAUUCUAUUCACAUUAACGGUUAUAAUUACUAAUUGUAUAUAUCUUUCUAUCCUAUUUU